rfam:Schistosoma mansoni strain Puerto Rico chromosome 2, complete genome
AUCCAGCUGACCAGUUCUAAACUGGAUGAAACGUACGUCAAACUGGAU